UACGUAGGGUGCGAGCGUUAAUCGGAAUUACUGGGCGUAAAGCGUGCGCAGGCGGUUUUGUGAGUCAGACGUGAAAUCCCCGGGCUCAACCUGGGAACUGCAUUUGUGACUGCACAGCUUGAGUGCGGCAGAGGGGGAUGGAAUUCCGCGUGUAGCAGUGAAAUGCGUAGAUAUGCGGAGGAACACCGAUGGCGAAGGCAAUCCCCUGGGCCUGCACUGACGCUCAUGCACGAAAGCGUGGGGAGCAAACAGG
rnacentral:rRNA from 1 species